rnacentral:rRNA from 1 species
GGAUCUUGCACAAUGGGGGAAACCCUGAUGCAGCGACGCCGCGUGGGCGAAGAAGGCCUUCGGGUCGUAAAGCCCUUUUCUGGGUGACGAGGAAGGACGGUAGCCCAGGAAGAGGUCUCGGCUAACUACGUGCCAGCAGCCGCGGUAAAACGUAGGAGGCAAGCGUUAUCCGGAGUUACUGGGCGUAAAGCGCGCGCAGGCGGUUAGGCAAGUUGGGUGUGAAAGCUCCCGGCUAAACCGGGAGAGUGCAUUCAAGACUGCCUGGCUAGAGGACGGUAGAGGGGCGCAGAAUUCGGGGUGUAGCGGUGAAAUGUGUAGAGAUCCCGAGGAAUACCAGUGGGGAAGCCGGCGCCCUGGGCCGAACCUGACGCUGAGGCGCGACAGCGUGGGGAGCGAACGGG